GGAGGAGUGGCAGAGCGGUCGAAUGCGCUCGCUUGGAAAGCGGGUAUACCGAAAGGUAUCGCAGGUUCGAAUCCUGUCUCCUCCGCCA
rnacentral:tRNA from 1 species